rnacentral:rRNA from 1 species
ACCGGUGAUAUAAGCGAAAGGGCCCCACCUGUACCCAUCUCGAACACAGAAGUUAAGCCUUUCAGCGCCGACGAUAGCAGGUAGACUUUUCCUGUGAAAAUAGGUCAUUGCCGGGU